GACGAACGCUGGCGGCGUGCUUAACACAUGCAAGUCGAACGGAAAGGCCCUGCUGUUGUGGGGUGCUCGAGUGGCGAAAGGGUGAGUAACACGUGAGUAACCUGCCCUUGACUUUGGGAUAACUUCAGGAAACUGGGGCUAAUACCGGAUAGGAGCUCCUGCUGCCUGGUGGGGGUUGGAAAGUUUCGGCGGUUGGGGAUGGACUCGCGGCUUAUCAGCUUGUUGGUGGGGUAGUGGCUUACCAAGGCUUUGACGGGUAGCCGGCCUGAGAGGGUGACCGGCCACAUUGGGACUGAGAUACGGCCCAGACUCCUACGGGAGGCAGCAGUGGGGAAUAUUGCACAAUGGGCGGAAGCCUGAUGCAGCAACGCCGCGUGCGGGAUGACGGCCUUCGGGUUGUAAACCGCUUUCGCCUGUGACGAAGCGUGAGUGACGGUAAUGGGUAAAGAAGCACCGGCUAACUACGUG
rnacentral:rRNA from 1 species